UCGCCCUUCGGUAAUUCCAGCUCCAAUAGCGUAUAUUAAAAUUGUUGCGGUUAAAACGCUCGUAGUUGGACAUUUGUAGGAGACUGCCGGUCUACCCCAGUGGUUAGUACUUGGCAUGUCUUCUGCACCUUCCUGGUGGAAGUGUUCGCACUUUGAUGUGUGGGGCGUAAUCCAGAACUUUUACUUUGAGGAAAUGAGAGUGCUUCACGCAGGCAUCCGUCGUGAAUACGUUAGCAUGGAAUAACACUAUAGACCACGUUCUAAAGCUGUUGGUUUUUAGGACGAGGUAAUGAAAAGAGGGAUAGUUGGGGGCAUUCGUAUUUAACUGUCAGAGGUGAAAUUCUUGGAUCUUUAAAAGACGAACUACUGCGAAAGCAUCUGCCCAGGAUGUUUCUAUUAAUCAAGAACGAAAGUUAGGGGAUCGAAGACGAUCAGAUACCGUCCUAGUCUUAACCUUAAACCAUGCCGACUAGAGAUUGGGGUCGUCAGAAUGUAGACGACGUCAGCAGCUUGAGAGAAAUCAAAGUCUUUGGGUUCCGGGGGGAGUAUGGUCGCAAGGCUGAAACUUAAAGGAAUUGACGGAAGGGCACCACCAGGAGUGGAGCCUGCGGCUUAAUUUGACUCAACACGGGGAAACUCACCAGGUCCAGACAUAGGGAGGAUUGACAGACUGAUAGCUCUUUCUUGAUUCUAUAGGUGGUGGUGCAUGGCCGUUCUUAGUUGGUGGAGUGAUUUGUCUGGUUAAUUCCGUUAACGAACGAGACCUUAACCUGCUAAAUAGUUCUCGAAAACAUCACGUUUCCGGAGAGCUUCUUAGAGGGACUUUGUGUGUGUAACAUAAGGAAGUGCGAGGCAAUAACAGGUCUGUGAUGCCCUUAGAUGUCCUGGGCCGCACGCGCGCUACACUGAUGCGUCCAACGAGUGCCCAACCUACUCUGGAAGGAAUGGGUAACCUUUUGAAAGCGCAUCGUGAUGGGGAUAGAUUAUUGCAAUUGUUAAUCUUGAACGAGGAAUUCCUAGUAAGCGCAAGUCAUCAGCUUGUGCUGAUUACGUCCCUGCCCUUUGUACACACCGCCCGUCGCUCCUACCGAUUGAGUAAUCUGGUGAAUAAUUUGGACUGCAACGUGCCCAGAUCUGGGAUGCGCUGCGGAAAGUCUAGUAAACCCUAUCACUUAGAGGAAGGAGAAGUCGUAACAAGGUUUCCGUAGGUGAACCUGCAGGGGGAUCA
rnacentral:rRNA from 1 species